UGGGGAAUAUUGGACAAUGGGCGAAAGCCUGAUCCAGCCAUGCCGCGUGUGUGAAGAAGGUCUUCGGAUUGUAAAGCACUUUAAGUUGGGAGGAAGGGCAGUAAGCGAAUACCUUGCUGUUUUGACGUUACCGACAGAAUAAGCACCGGCUAACUCUGUGCCAGCAGCCGCGGUAAUACAGAGGGUGCAAGCGUUAAUCGGAAUUACUGGGCGUAAAGCGCGCGUAGGUGGUUCGUUAAGUUGAAUGUGAAAGCCCCGGGCUCAACCUGGGAACUGCAUCCAAAACUGGCGAGCUAGAGUAGGGCAGGGGGUGGUGGAAGUUCCUGUGUAGCGGUGAAAUGCGUAGAUAUAGGAAGGAACACCAGUGGCGAAGGCGACCACCUGGGCUCAUACUGACACUGAGGUGCGAAAGCGUGGGGAGCAAACAGG
rnacentral:rRNA from 1 species